rnacentral:sRNA from 1 species
UAUUCUCCAUCCCAGGGGGGAUGAGAAUCCCCGACCGGGGUUCGACAACGGGCAACUGCCCGUUGGACAGACCACGAAUAACAUGAGUGGGCUGCCCGCAGGGCGAGCGGAGCGAGUCAAUCCCCCCCCCUCACCG